UAUUAAUAAGCACCUGACAGUCCUAACCUGAUACAGCCUAAGCCACAAUAAGUGUUGGGUGCAGAACAAAAAAUACGAAUUUCAUUAUUUGAGAAUAAACUCACAGCCUGAAAAUUUUGUUUUAACAACCCAUAUCAGGCAAACCAGAUGAGUCUGAAAUCAGGAUUAUGCUUAAGUUAACUGAAAUCCAGGAUAUAUAAAUAAUGGCACGGAAGUAUAAUGGAUUGCUUUAUUCUCUUUGUCAUGACCCAACCUAUGGG
rnacentral:misc_RNA from 1 species